GCCAACCAUAUCUAUAGUGUAAGUUUAUGGCAUUGUAUCUUUUUAGAUGACCAAUGGCAGACGGGGGGUGUUCAAAAAAACCUGCAUGAAAACAACCGCUAUUUUUGCAAUUCCAUUUGAUGACCCCAGUUAUGCAGAAAUUACACAUUUCAACUUUAAGAUGUAAUAAAUAAUUAAAAAAAUUACAAAGAAGAGAAACAAGCCCUGAGUGAUUAACAUAACAUCUUUAUUAUUUUCUGUUAAUAUAUAAAUAAGAACUGGAUCUGGAUGGAGCACAUGCUUUAUACAUCUCAUAUUCCAAAGAAACCCAGAGAGCUGAAGGUAAGAGGAGGUAAAGUGUGGUAAAACAAUGGCAGAGUCCUGCAGCCAAGUAUUUCUCUCAUUACCAGCCGCCUGUCAGGUCUCAUCCAGGACUAAAUGACAGGAAGUGUUUCUAUGACAGCGGCUCCCACUGCCGCUGAGCUCAGAAUUAACUGUGAUUUCCACUGGCAGCAUGAUGGAAUAAGAAUGAGGGAUUUCUGCUCUCUCAUUCUCUGUUGUCAGACGCUGUGCCCACUUUUCAACUCAACAUUUGCCUGAGAGAACUACUUACAGGGUAUUUAAGAAUUUUUAACACCCAUUAAGUCCUCUGACACUUUCUUUUAAAAUUAAACAGUUGUUUCAUUUUUAUUUAAUUUUUUCAGAUGUUUUCAAUCACAAUCAGGGGAUGUCAAGUGGCCAAAUUUGUGACUGUAAAAUCCAAAGUUAAAUAAGGGAGUCAUCCAAAAAUGUGUAGUGUUGGGGGCGUUCAUGACCAUUUUGGGAACCACAGUUUUGUAGUACAACAGGACAGGGAGGUCAUUUAUUUUCGGAAAUCCUUUUGUGUUCCCUCGCAAUAGUUUGCAUUCCCUUAAAAUAAGUUUUGCAUUCCCUUGCAAUAGUUUGCGUUCCCUCAAAAUAAGUUUUGCGUUCCCUCGCAAUAGUUUGCGUUCCCUUAAAAUAAGUUUUGCGUUCCCUCGCAAUAGUUUGCAUUCCCUUAAAAUAAGUUUUGCAUUCCCUCGCAAUAGUUUGCGUUCCCUUAAAAUAAGUUUUGCGUUCCCUCGCAAUAGUUUGCGUUCCCUUAAAAUAAGUUUUGCAUUCCCUCGCAAUAGUUUGCGUUCCCUUAAAAUAAGUUUUGCGUUCCCUCGCAAUAGUUUGCGUUCCCUCAAAAUAAGUUUUGCGUUCCCUCAAAAUAAGUUUUGCAUUCCCUCGCAAUAGUUUGCGUUCCCUCAAAAUAAGUCUUGCUUUCCCUCAAAAUAAGUUUUGCGUUCCCUCGCAAUAGUUUGCGUUCCGUCAAAAUAAGUUUUGCGUUCCCUCGCAAUAAGUUUUGCUUUCCCUCAAAAUGAGUUUUGCGUUCCCUCGCAAUAAGUUUUGCGUUCCCUCAAAAUAAGUUUUGCGUUCCCUCGCAAUAGUUUGCGUUCCCUCAAAAUAAGUUUUGCGUUCCCUCGCAAUAAUUUGCGUUCCCUUAAAAUAAGUUUUGCAUUCCCUCACAAUAGUUUGCGUUCCCUUAAAAUAAGUUUUGCGUUCCCUCGCAAUAGUUUGCGUUCCCUCAAAAUAAGUUUUGCAUUCCCUCGCAAUAGUUUGCGUUCCCUCAAAAUAAGUUUUGCAUUCCCUCGCAAUAGUUUGCGUUCCCUCAAAAUAAGUUUUGCAUUCCCUCGCAAUAGUUUGCGUUCCCUCAAAAUAAGUUUUGCAUUCCCUCACAAUAGUUUGCGUUCCCUCAAAAUAAGUUUUGCAUUCCCUCACAAUAGUUUGCGUUCCCUCAAAAUAAGUUUUGCGUUCCCUCAAAAUAAGUUUUGCGUUCCCUCAAAAUAAGUUUUGCAUUCCCUCGCAAUAGUUCGCGUUCCCUCAAAAUAAGUUUUGCGUUCCCUCAAAAUAAGUUUUGCGUUCCCUCAAAAUAAGUUUUGCAUUCCCUCGCAAUAGUUCGCGUUCCCUCAAAAUAAGUUAUGCAUUCCCUAAAAAUAAGUUUUGCAUUCCCUCGCAAUAGUUUGCGUUCCCUCAAAAUAAGUUUUGCAUUCCCUCGCAAUAGUUUGCAUUCCCUCAAAAUAAGUUUUGCAUUUCUUCGCAAUAGUUCGCGUUCCCUCAAAAUAAGUUUUGCAUUCCCUCGCAAUAGUUCGCGUUCCCUCAAAAUAAGUUUUGCAUUCCCUCGCAAUAGUUCGCGUUCCCUCAAAAUAAGUUUUGCAUUCCCUCGCAAUAGUUCGCGUUCCCUCAAAAUAAGUUUUGCAUUCCCUCGCAAUAGUUCGCGUUCCCUCGAAAUAAGUUUUGCGUUCCCUCAAAAUAAGUUUUGCAUUCCCUCGCAAUAGUUCGCGUUCCCUCAAAAUAAGUUAUGCAUUCCCUAAAAAUAAGUUUUGCAUUCCCUCGCAAUAGUUUGCGUUCCCUCAAAAUAAGUUUUGCAUUUCCUCGCAAUAGUUUGCGUUCCCUCAAAAUAAGUUUUGCAUUCCCUCGCAAUAUUUUGCGUUCCCUCAAAAUAAGUUUUGCAUUCCCUCGCAAUAGUUUGUGUUCCCUUAAAAUAAGUUUGGAUACAGAAAAUCGAAAACUAUACAUAAAAAUUAUAAUUAUUCUGCCAACAAAAAUUUUAAUAAACAGAAUUAUUACGCAUACCAUUGUUCAACUAUGGUUAAUGUUGUCAGAACAUUGUUCAUUUUUAAAAUGGAUGGAUAAAGCUAUUGCAAGGGAACCCAAAAUAAUUGCAAGGGUAUGCUAAAUUUAUUGCGAUGCUAUGCAAACUAUUGAGAGGGAACAUAAUGUUGGUUUGUUCUUUUCAUGCAAAUUUUUUGGAGAGAAAGCAAAAUUAUUUCUGAAAAUAAAUCCCUUCCAUGUCUUCUAAGGGGCUACGUAAUAAACCCUAACAAGAUACUGUCUGUAAGUUUGAAAUGAAGAUAUCGCAAAGGCCUACAUCAUAUUUCCUUCAAAUAAAUAAAGUAAAAUAAGAACCAAAUAGAGGGAAAAUUAGCAAUUUUCCUUCAGCGGCUCUCCGUGCAAUUUAUGCAUGUCUUUCGAAAAACCAUCUGGACUGCUUCUAUAGCAAGGGGUGGAACAAAUCAACCUGUGCAGCGGCAACGUGCUGUAAACAAAGAUUCAAUUAGGAGACAAGAUUGUGCCCGUCUGCCGAACGGUGCCAGGUGCCGCGUGUAAGCCAUCUUAAGCUGAUGGAUGUGGCGCUCAUAUGCCUGCCAGCCUGCGCUAUUAAACAGCAAGAUCUGUCCAUUGUUGAGCUGAAGACAAACAGAGCUCUGUGCAGUUCAUUUGAUAAAACUGAACGCGCCAUAUGAGCAGAUUUCUGCUAAUGAAGAAUCACAGAACAUAAACAUCACAAAAUCAUAACCUGAAGACGUCUGGUUGUUGUGGUAAUAGUUAAUGUUCAAUGUAAUUAACAAAGCAAAUUCAACAUGAAAUCCCAUCAUACUUCUGUCAUGUGACAUGUUUAGUUCUGGUUGGACCUGAUUGGGUAGUGAGAAGUGGUUUUGGUCUGACAGGUGGUUGUAAGGGCGGGGCUGAAAAUAAGAGGGUUUGUGACAUCAGCUGAAAAGGAAUGUCAUUUUCAAGUUGUUACAUUUUCUUGAAAAUUCCGAAAACAAACAUUUCUGUUCUUCACAAUAAGACAGAUAACUGGUUUGAAAUGAGACUAACACUUUCAUUAUUACAGUGGGUAUUGAAUAUAUUUAAAACUUAAAAAGAAUAGUAAAAGUCAGGAAAAAAGUGAUUUACAAAGCUCAGGGGAGCAAAAUCAGACAAGCAUGAAACCGCACAAUCAUGACAGAAACAAAUGACAUUUUUACUCAGAGGUAACAAAGACAAAAACGGUUCGAUUUCAAAAGUGCUUUGUUAAAACAGUGCUACUUCUGGACAAACGCAGUUAUAGAAAUGAGGACAAACUAGCUGAUGCUAACCAAGCAAAUAUUUCGACUUUGAUAAGGAGUGGACAGACCACACGCUCCAAAAAUAAAGCUUUCAAAAAGGGUUUUCACACCAAUGCCACAGACCUACCAUCAUUGGUUCCCCAAAGAACCUUUCUUAAAGGAACCAUUGUUGAAGAACCUUUUUGUAGUCUAAAGAACCUUUUGAGGAAUGAGAAGGUUCCAUUUGUAAAAGGUUCUUCAUGGAACCGUACAUGUUGAUAAAGAACCUUUAUUUUAAAAACAGUAAAAGGCACUUAAUGCUACAUAAACCCUUAUAACUUACAAUAUACGAACACAGUAAAUAAACAGAGCUGAACUAGUUAAGCAGGACUCACGACUUGCGUUCUACCGUGAACUAGCUUAAACCGUUCCGAAUUCAGACAUGAGGGAGAAAGGGUUGAGGAUGCUUCAUAAAAAGCCAAAUGAUUUAGUCCUGAGCUCACGAGUCUGUUGUUCUCAUGUGAUCUUUUCAUUUGGGUCCUUGACAGAUUUCAAUGUCCAUGUAACUCUAAUUGUUCUCUAGUGGUGUCUGAAAGGGUUUGAAAUGAAUUGCAAGAUAUAUCAAAGCAAAUGAAAUAAAUAAAUAUAUAAAUAGGAUGUGCCGUGUUUAUUAAAUGAACAAAAACAAGCUUGCAAGCUGUCGUUUGGUAACGCCUGCAAAAUGUGCCAAGGUCAAUAAAUAAGCACUAGAUGGAAGAAUCUCUCAAACAGAUCAUGUUUCUCUUAUACUUUGAAUAAAGCAACUGAAACCCAUUUUUAGGUCCAUUUAAUAUGCAAGUGACAAUUAAGCACAUUUAUAUUACUGAAAUGGUGGACUGGUGGUGGCGUAGUGGGCUAAAGUACAUAACUGGUAAUCAGAAGGUUGCUGGUUCGAUCCCCACAGCCACCACCAUUGUGUCCUUGAGUAAGGCACUUAACUCCAGGUUGCUCCGGGGGGAUUGUCCCUGUAAUAAGUGCUCUGUAAGUCACUUUGGAUAAAAGCAUCUGCCAAAUGCAUGAAUGUAAAUGUAAAUGAAAUGCGAAAAUAUUUAAAGAAUUAAAACGAUUAAGUCUUUUUGCGUCAUGGUUGUAUUUUCUGAACUACCUUUCUUUUUUGUUGUAUUACGCAAUUGAUCUUUUAUCUGCAUAAAUGAGAGUUGUUUGAAUUUCACAAUAAAGCAGGGCUUGUAAUUAGUAAUCUGGCAUACCGGGCAUUUUCCCAGUGGGCCGACGCACUUUGGGGCUGAUCAGGGGUGGAAUGGCCUGCUGGUGGGUCGGCCGCGAAAUGUGCCAAAUGGGCCACGAUAAGCUAAAAUGAGCCAGGGCGUUAUGCAGAACGGGCCACAGAAUGGCACCGCGAUAUGCAGAAAAUAAGUUUGUUUUGGGCCAGUUGCCGUGUAAAAUCACGGGCCGAUUUACUGUAUCUUCCCAGUCCAGCCCUGCAUUAAAGUAAAACAUCUAGAUGCAUUACAGAAACGCUCUUUACAAUUUGGUUGCAAAUGUGCUUGAUUAUCAAGAAAAAAAUGGCACAAUACAAAAAGCCUUAUGCUCGUAAAAAUAAGAAAAGAUUUUGAGGUGAAACGUGACCUGAGGUUUACAGAUCAAUCAUCAAAGGCCUUUUCUUUUGAGUGACUUUCUAGUGGUAGGCAACCUCGGCAGGAAAUACAUUGUUGCAUGAUCAAUGACACUGUGUGAACUCCCGACAAAUGAAUACAAAUGUGCGAUUUUAGUGGUCCUACUACAGUAAGUGCUCCAGCACAGUGCAAGAUGAGACUUCACAGGAGUUACAUAUACAGUUAAAGGCCUUCAAGGUG